CUCAUUUCCUCCCCCCGCACGCCGCUCGCCUCGUUCCCGUACCGAGCCAUGGCGCUCGACGCCGGCCACUCGGUCACCGCGCCGCGCCGGUCGCCGGCGACGCCGGGCGGGCCUCCUUUUCACUUAUCCCUUUCAUUAUCUCCACCUACUGUGGCAGAAAGGAUGAGGCCCGGCUGCACCCGCUCUCCCUGUGCCGUCUCUGUGCCGCAACGGGGUUUCGGACUUCGCCUGCGACGGCGAAGAACCGCCGCUGCGCGUGAGCCUCCUUUCCCCCUUUUCUCCUUCCACCUCACGCCUCCUGUUAGAGAGAGAGCCACGAGCAGAGUCAAACUCUGCUCUCCCUGUGCUUUGACGGUGGAACAACCGUUUCGGCGGCGUCCGUUGCAAUCCCCUUCGCCGGUGGCGUGUUCCCCUCGUGGUGAGCGCGCCGCCGUCGAGCGGUUUGGCGAGCGGCGCCCUUUGCCCCUCUCGGGGUGGUGUUCUUCUUCUGACGCCUCGGCUUGCGAUGCGCGUCCGGAUCGAGAGGAACAGAUGAACUCGAUCCCGCGCCGGCCAUGGUGGUGUGGUGACGGCGGCGAUGUGGACAGAGAUGGCGGCGGUGGUGUGCAAAACGUCUUAUAUUCUGGGACGGAGGAAGUACUAGUCUAUUUUUUUCUCA